GCCAGGCAUGGUGGCUCGUGCCUGUAAUCCCAGCUACUUGGGAGGCUGAGGCAGGAGAAUCACUUGAACCCAGGAGGCAGAGGUUGCAGUGAGCCAAGAUUGUGCCACUGCACUUCAGCCUGGGUGACAGAGUGAGACUCUGUCUCAA
rnacentral:SRP_RNA from 2 species